CGAGAAAGCCCGCAAGGGUGAGUACAGCGGCGCACGGGUGCGUAACACGUGGGUAGUCUGCCCUGGAGCCCGGAAUAACUCCCCGAAAGGGGUGCUAAUGCCGGAUGAGCCCACGGGGUCUUCGGACCCUGAGGGAAAAGGUGGCCUCUGCAUGCAAGCUAUCACUUCAGGAUGGGCCCGCGGCCCAUCAGCUAGUCGGCGGGGUAAUGGCCCACCAAGGCUACGACGGGUAGCUGGUCUGAGAGGACGAUCAGCCACACUGGAACUGAGACACGGUCCAGACUCCUACGGGAGGCAGCAGUGGGGAAUCUUGCGCAAUGGGCGAAAGCCUGACGCAGCAACGCCGCGUGUGUGAUGAAGGUCUUCGGAUCGUAAAGCACUGUCGCGAGGGACG
rnacentral:rRNA from 1 species